rnacentral:lncRNA from 1 species
GCCAUAUUGACUUCUCUUAUAUUCUUGUCUGACUGUUUUAUUGCAGUUUUGUUUCGAUGCUUGUGUGUGAUCAGCUUCAUUGUGAAUUCUGCAAUGUCUAUACUUAUGAUGGCACUUAGCAUGAGUAUCGGUAGGUGAUAUUUUUAUACAUUCUUAUUUCUUCAUUUGCCUAUUCUUUUAUUUGUAUCAAUUGACUCUGAUACUCACCCAUCUACGUUGACUUAUAUGAUAAGUUAUUGAGCAUACAUUUCCAAAGAUAAUGUUUCGGUAACAACAGCUGUCAAGUUUUUUUUUAAAGGCAAUAAUUAUAAAACGUAGCCUUCGUCUCUCAAAGUAAAGAAACAGUUUGUGCACUUAUGUAAUUUUUCAUUGUAGUGCUCUCCAAGUGAGCUUGUUAAAUGCUGGUUUACGAGCAUACAUGAAACACAUUUCUUGAGAUACAUGAGAUACAGGCACUUACUUAUAAUUAAAUUAAAUGCGUUUUUUUUGUCAAAUGGAUACGUUGGUACGUGAUAACUAUAGAUAAAAUUAUUCAAAUUUAUUAAGCACUUAGCAACAUUAUAUAUAUUUUUAAUAGUUUUCACUUCUUACAAUAUAUUUAAAUUAUUUCAGGUAGAACAAUUGGUCUAACGGUUCUUUGCUGUCUUAUACAUGUUAUAAGCCCCAUCGUGUAUAUUAGUGUACCACAUAAAAGAAAAGAAAAUAGCGCACGUAUAUAACUUGUGGAGGAUAAAAAAUUACAUAUAAGAAAUAAGAAAGCAGGGACACCCGAGAAAUUAGAUGUAUGCCAGUAGGAUUAUCAUGCAUAUUCUAAACAUUCACAUUGAUAUUUUAGAAUCGUCGAAAGCGUCACCAAGGGAUGCAAAUUCGAAGAUUCUAAAAUAUUUAUAUAUGUAUAUAAUUAUAUUCUUUGAUAUCAUAAAAAUAACAAAUAAGUAAACAUAAACCUACAUUUUCUCUAUGUAUUAAUGUUCUAUCACCGUGUUGGAUAUUAGAUACUAUCGAGUCCAAACAUUUGUCGCAGGUGUGGUUGAGACACAAUGUAAAAGGACACAAAUACAACACAGUAAUUAUGAUAUGUUGUAACACAAUUAAUUUAUCACAAUUACGUUUAUAAGGAUCGUAGAAACUCUCAUGAGGAGUGUUUGGUGAUAUUUAUGUGGUCUGAAGCUGAUAAACAUAUCGGCUAAUCUUUAGAAAAUCACUAAUCAGCAAUUUUGAAAAUCUUUAGUUUUCUAUGACCUAGUUUGACUGUGUCUCAUUCUUAGUCUUUGAUCUGUUUGGUCAAGAUAGUUUCUAUUUGAGUUUGAUUGCCAUCUUCGUAUUGUUGCUGUUCACCAUGAUCAACAAGCCUUGACUGCUUGGUAAUUUAGUUCUCUGAUUAUCAAUUGCAACGUAUUUAUAUAUUUUCUGUGUCAUCUGACAAUCGGAACCAACUAAAUAUUCUGAUUCCAGAAAUUACUUUUGUUUGAAUGAUUCUUUUUUACUUGUACUGACAUGUACAUCAUAUCUCAAUAAGUCAGUAUAGACUAAACAUACAUCUGUUUGGUUGAAAGAUAUUAAACACUUCAUUUCAUAAAAAAAAUAUUGUAGAUUUUUUAAAAUCAAAAUUAAUAGCCAGUUUGAUGUUUACUUGAAAAGAGACAUAAUGUACAUGUUCAUGUUCGAAUCGGAAAACUGUUAUUGAAAAACUGUAUCCUUUAUAAUGUAUUAUAAA